rnacentral:tRNA from 1 species
ACAUGGUUGGCUCAGUGGGCUGAGCAUCUGACUUCAGCUCAGGUCACGAUCUCGUGGUUUGUGAGUUUGAGCCCCACAUCGGGCU